rnacentral:rRNA from 1 species
GUCCACGCCGUAAACUAUGGACGCUAGCCGUUGGGUAGCUUGCUAUUCAGUGGCGCAGCUAACGCCUUAAGCGUCCCGCCUGGGGAGUACGGCCGCAAGGUUGAAACUCAAAGGAAUUGACGGGGGCCCGCACAAGCUGUGGAGCAUGUGGUUUAAUUCGACGCAACGCGCAGAACCUUACCAGGGUUUGACAUCCCAAGACCGCCUAUGAAAGUAGGUUUCCCCGCAAGGGGCUUGGAGACAGGUGCUGCAUGGCUGUCGU